rnacentral:lncRNA from 1 species
CGGCAGCUCCAAGGGACAAGCGGCGGCAGGAGGGCGGCGGCGGCGGCGAGGGGCGCAGCGAGCAUCGGAAAGGCUGGCGAGCAGNNNNNNNNNNNNNNNNNNNNNNNNNNNNNNNNNNNNNNNNNNCUAGCAUGGGAAAGGUGGGCGAGCGGCCGGGAGCGGGAGCCGGGGAUCCCUGCGGGAGGGGGCGCGCGGGGGCUCGCCCACGCCAGCUCCGGCCCCGCGUUCGCCGUGGGCCAUGAAAUCCGCCCUGAGCGGCGACCGAACCCGGCUGGCCGGUGGACCAGCAACUUCCCCGUCCGGCCGGCAACGCCGAGGUUACACAACGGGGCGCUCAGGACACCCGAGUAGACAACUUUCCGACUGCGCUUUCCCUAGGGACCGAGGGUUCGCGCUGGAGAGCGCGCCGGGGGCCUCAGUGAGGUUGAGCCAAAUUCGCUGCGCUGCGCUCCGGCGUGGGGAGGGCGCGCCCCAGCCUCCUUCCCCCGAAGAUCAACUUCGUUUGGGCAUCUUCCUUCUCCCUACCUUGCAAGCCAGCAGCUCGGGUCUAGGGCCCGCGCCCCGCUGCCCUCAGCUUCUGGGGGCCAUCGGAGCGCGCGUGGCCGCAGACUCGUGCGCUUCUGGAUCGCGUCCGGCUCGCAGUCUGGGUGAUCUCGCAGGCUUUUCUAGAGACCUGCUCCGUUUGGAGUGCAGCGGCCGGAGGGCGAGCCAGGCUCCCUGCGAGGGUGGGCGGAGUUUGGGCGCCGGGCGAGUCCGCGCGCAGCUGGGAGGAGAGGGGCGUGCCUCCGUGAAGCCCGCCCGGCUGCCUGCCCGCGCUCUCCAGGGUGUUCGCUCCGGGCCGGAGACGUCUUCGGGGAGAACUGGUCUUCGCCGUGGGCCGGCGCGUUCAGCUUCUGUCCCGGAGCCACUGCCGGAGUCGGCGGAGGACGCGGGGCGCACUCGGUCAGGGUCAGGGCUAGGGCUGGCUGCCGAGAAGCGAUUGGCCCGCCAGUCUUCCGCCGGCUAUCUUCGGCAAAGUGAAGUUGCUGACACACAGGAAACCCCUCUGACCGCUCAGAGCCUUCUGCCUAACACCCUGGAGCCGACCGAAGGAGACUGAAGUCUCCAGGGCCUUCAAGAACCACGCCAGGUGUUUGCAUGUUUCAGGCAGCCUGCAG